GACGAACGCUGGCGGCGUGCUUAACACAUGCAAGUCGAGCGGUAAGGCCCUUCGGGGUACACGAGCGGCGAACGGGUGAGUAACACGUGAGCAAUCUGCCCUUCUCUUUGGAAUAACCAUUGGAAACGAUGGCUAAUGCCGAAUAUGACCCCCCUUCGCAUGUUGGGGGGUGGAAAGCUCCGGCGGAGAUGGAUGAGCUCGCGGCCUAUCAGCUUGUUGGUGGGGUAAUGGCCCACCAAGGCGACGACGGGUAGCCGGCCUGAGAGGGCGACCGGCCACACUGGGACUGAGACACGGCCCAGACUCCUACGGGAGGCAGCAGUGGGGAAUAUUGCACAAUGGGCGAAAGCCUGAUGCAGCGACGCCGCGUGAGGGAUGACGGCCUUCGGGUUGUAAACCUCUUUCAGCAGGGAAGAAGCGAAAGUGACGGUACCUGCAGAAGAAGCGCCGGCUAACUACGUGC
rnacentral:rRNA from 1 species